rnacentral:rRNA from 1 species
GAUGAACGCUGGCGGCGUGCCUAAUACAUGCAAGUCGAACGAGGCCCUCUUCCUUCGGGAGGAGGUGUCCUAGUGGCGAACGGGUGAGUAUCACGUUGGUGACCUACCCCGAAGAGGGGGACAACCCCGGGAAACUGGGGCUAAUACCCCAUGUGAUCCUAAGGACUAGAUGCCUAAGGAUGAAAUGGAGCAAUUCGCUUCGGGAGGGGCCUGCGGCCUAUCAGCUAGUUGGUGAGGUAAUGGCUCACCAAGGCGACGACGGGUAGGGGACCUGAGAGGGUGACCCCCCACACUGGAACUGAAACACGGACCAGACACCUACGGGUGGCAGCAGUAGGGAAUAUUGCACAAUAGGCGAAAGCCUGAUGCAGCAACGCCGCGUGCGCGAUGAAGGCCUUAGGGUUGUAAAGCGCUUUUCUGGGGGACGAGAAAGGACGGUACCCCAGGAAUAAGUCUCGGCUAACUACGUG